AUGGGCUGGGCAAGGGUUCAGACGGCGCAAGCCGCGAGAGUCCAGGCUGCAAAGAUAAUUUAAUAGGCUGGUUGUGCGUUGGGUAACUUAGCGCAUAACAAGACAAUAGGUUGCUGGCGUUUUGUAUAGCGUGCCACUGUGCGAUACAAAAUGUGAGACCCAAACCAGAUGGCUACACAUGUAGAACUGCUCGAAGAAGGCUUGCGGACGGGGGUUCAAAUCCCCCCAGCUCCACCA
rnacentral:tmRNA from 1 species